rnacentral:rRNA from 1 species
GAUCCUGGCUCAGAUUGAACGCUGGCGGCGUGCCUAACACAUGCAAGUCGAACGAAGCACCUUUUGAGAUUCUUCGGAUGAUCGAUCGGUGACUGAGUGGCGGACGGGUGAGUAACGCGUGGGUAACCUGCCCUGUACAGGGGGAUAACAGCUGGAAACGGCUGCUAAUACCGCAUAAGCGCACGAGGAGACAUCUCCUUGUGUGAAAAACUCCGGUGGUACAGGAUGGGCCCGCGU